rnacentral:rRNA from 1 species
CAGUAGCCGCGGGAAUACGUAGGUGGCAAGCGUUGUCCGGAAUUAUUGGGCGUAAAGGGCUCGCAGGCGGUUUCUUAAGUCUGAUGUGAAAGCCCCCGGCUCAACCGGGGAGGGUCAUUGGAAACUGGGAAACUUGAGUGCGGAAGAGGAGAGUGUAAUUCCACAUGUAGCGGUGAAAUGCGUAGAGAUGUGGAGGAACACCAGUGGCGAAGGCGACUCUCUGGUCUGUAACUGACGCUGAGGAGCGAAAGCGUGGGGAGCGAACAGGAUUAGAGACCCGCGUAGUCCCUGUCUCUUAUAC